AGUGAACGCUGGCGGUAGGCCUAACACAUGCAAGUCGAACGGCAGCACAGUAAGAGCUUGCUCUUACGGGUGGCGAGUGGCGGACGGGUGAGGAAUACAUCGGAAUCUACUUUUUCGUGGGGGUUAACGUAGGGAAACUUACGCUAAUACCGCAUACGACCUACGGGUGAAAGCAGGGGAUCUUCGGACCUUUCGCGAUUGAAUGAGCCGAUGUCGGAUUAGCUAGUUGGCGGGGUAAAGGCCCACCAAGGCGACGAUCCGUAGCUGGUCUGAGAGGAUGAUCAGCCACACUGGAACUGAGACACGGUCCAGACUCCUACGGGAGGCAGCAGUGGGGAAUAUUGGACAAUGGGCGGAAGCCUGAUCCAGCCAUACCGCGUGGGUGAAGAAGGCCUUCGGGUUGUAAAGCCCUUUUGUUGGGAAAGAAAAGCAGCAGGUUAAUACCCCGCUGUUCUGACGGUACCCAAAGAAUAAGCACCGGCUAACUUCGUG
rnacentral:rRNA from 1 species